rnacentral:rRNA from 1 species
AGACAACUUGCCCUGUCGUGGGAGAUAAUCUCGGGAAACUGAGGGUAAUAUCCCAUAGGCCUCCGAAACUGGAAUGUUUGGAGGUUGAAAGCUCCGGCGCGACAGGAUAGGUCUGCGGCUGAUUAGCUUGUAGGCGGUGUAAUGGACCACCUAGGCUAUAAUCAGUAAGGGUCGUGAGAGCGAUAGCCCUGAGACGGAAUCUGAGACACUAUUCCGAGCCUUACGGGGUGCAGCAGGCGCGAAACCUUUACACUACACGAAAGUGUGAUAAGGGAAUUCCAAGUGUGCAUAUACCAUAUGCACUUUUUCGGAGUUUAAAAUGCUCCGGGAAUAAGGGGUGGGCAAGACUAGUGCCAGCCGCCGCGGUAAAACUAGCAUCUCAAGUGGCAGUCACACUUAUUGGGCUUAAAGCGUCCGUAGCUCGUUUGGAAAGUCUUUGGUGAAAUCCUGCGGCUUAACCGUAGGGCGCGCCGGGGAAACUACCAGACUAGAAGGCAGGAGAGGUCGGGGGUACGUCUGGGGUAGGGGUGAAAUCCUAUAAUCCUAGACGGACCAACAGUGGCGAAGGCGCCUGACAUGAAUGCGCUUGACAGUGAGGGACGAGAGCCAAGAGCGCGAAACGGAUUAGAUACCCGUGUAGUCUUGGCCGUAAACGAUGCUGACUAGGUGGGGUGUGACCUUAGGGGUCAUGCUAUGCCGAAGAGAAAUCGUUAAGUCAGCCGCCUGGGGAGUACGCUCGCAAGGGUGAAACUUAA